rnacentral:rRNA from 1 species
GAUGAACGCUGGCGGCGUGCCUAAUACAUGCAAGUCGAGCGAAUGACGAGGAGCUUGUUCCUCUGAUUUAGCGGCGGACGGGUGAGUAACACGUGGGUAACCUGCCUGUAAGACGGGGAUAACUCCGGGAAACCGGAGCUAAUACCGGAUGAUAACGAGAAGCGCCUGCUUCUUUUUUGAAAGUCGGUUUCGGCUGCGGCUUACAGAUGGGCCCGCGGCGCAUUAGCUAGUUGGUGAGGUAACGGCUCACCAAGGCGACGAGUCGUAGCCGACCUGAGAGGGUGAUCGGCCACACUGGGACUGAGACACGGCCCAGACUCCUACGGGAGGCAGCAGUAGGGAAUCUUCGGCAAUGGACGAAAGUCUGACCGAGCAACGCCGCGUGAGCGAUGAAGGCCUUCGGGUCGUAAAGCUCUGUUGUCAGAGAAGAACAAGUACCGGAGUAACUGCCGGUACCUUGACGGUACCUGACCAGAAAGCCACGGCAACUACGUGCCAGCAGCCGCUGUAACAC